rnacentral:lncRNA from 1 species
GGACAUCAAUGCAUUCAUGCAUAAUACAAAAAGGAUCAAUGUUCAACAAAAAAUUCACCAAGCCAACUCCAUGAUAGUAGAGUAAUGGAAAGACAAACAAAAUACAAGUAUCUCAAAAUAGGUACAUGUACAAUCCAACAAAAGGGGUUCUCGCUCAAAGACUCCAUGGAUAAUUGUCAUGCUAAUAUUUAACUUGGUGUACAAGAAGGAUGACCUAGCCUGAUUAGGUUAGAGAAGUCCCACCUUCAUCAGCACCUCCAGUCAUCGUCUCACUAAACAUACCAACCUCAUAGGUGCCUCUUUUUGUGUCGGACCCAUCCAAUUUGGGUUGGGGGCGUUGCCAAAAUCAAGCUCACCUCGUGUAAGAGCAUCCUCUCAGAUCAUCCAAUGAAUAGUCGUGUAGCCCUUCUUCAUCAGUUUCAUGCAACACUGAAAGCCCUUAUCUGAGUAAGCUAACCUGAGCACCUCGAUCUCCUUAGAAGACUUGAAGUCUUCAAUCACCUUCUCAUUGGCCGACCUCAUUUCCGCCACCUCAUUAGUAAGCUUCAUCACUUGCUUUGAAUCACCCUAACAUCCUUAGCAUGCGUGUUAGCCACACAUUUAAGCUCGAACUUGGCAUCACCAACUUUCUUCCUUUCAACGUCAACCACUGAUCUCAGCUUGGUGAUGAGAAUGUCAUUAUUUUCCUUCUUUUUUCUAGUUCCUAGAUAUGAGCACUUUGCUUUUUAAGGUUGCCGUGGUCUCCAGCUGAGCAUGAUAUUGAAGCCAAGUCCCCUGAAAAAAAAAACAAAGAGAAAAAAAAAAGUGAGUGAAGCUAAGCAUUAAUCCUAGAAAGACCACAU